rnacentral:rRNA from 1 species
UCUACGGGUGGCAGCAGUGGGGAAUAUUGGACAAUGGGGGGAACCCUGAUCCAGCGACGCCGCGUGAGUGAAGAAGUAUUUCGGUAUGUAAAGCUCUAUCAGCAGGGAAGAAAAUGACGGUACCUGACUAAGAAGCCCCGGCUAACUACGUGCCAGCAGCCGCGGUACUACGGAGGGGGCAAGCGUUAUCCGGAUUUACUGGGUGUAAAGGGAGCGUAGACGGUGCAGCAAGUCUGAUGUGAAAGGUCGGGGCCCAACCCCGGGACUGCAUUUGAAACUGUGUUUCUUGAGUGCUGGAGAGGCAAUCGGAAUUCCGGGUGUAGCGGUGAAAUGCGUAGAUAUACGGAGGAACACCAGUGGCGAAGGCGGAUUGCUGGACAGUAACUGACGCUGAGGCGCGAAAGCGUGGGGAGCAAACAGGAUUAGAUACCCGGGUAGUC